rnacentral:lncRNA from 1 species
CAAUGUCAUCACGGUAAAAAAGAAUUAUUAUAUAAUAGAAGUUAUUAAUUUAUAAAAGUUAUAUUGUACAACUCACUACAUAAUAAAGUACAGUUAAAUUUGAAAGCAUGCAACUUCAUAAUUUCAUCCAUUAAUACCAACAUUUAACGAAUUCAAUUUCUUCUUCACUUCUAUGUUUUUCCUUCAAUUUCAUGUCUCUAUGAUGAUAAGGUCUUUAAUGUUUCUAGAACAAUGUUCAUCAACUUUGCUUUUAUUCAAUUUAACGCCCCUAUAAUGAGAAGAACGUUGGUGCUCUUGAAACAUUAUUCUUUAACUAAAAAUAGUUAAAAGUUGAUGCUGAAACGACGAUGCCAUCAUAAAACUUAAAAUUUAUCUUCAAAACUAUUAUCCCAUAUAUUCCAGCUUUCCCAUUGUUUUCAUGGAUAAAAUGUUUGUGAAUGCAUUUAUAGUAACGGCCACCGACUGUUGCUUAGCUCCACUUUUCACCACACAUUUACAUAACUUGCUAAAAUUCAAAGGACUCUUUUGGUCCCAAAAUUGAUUAAAAUUUGAAAACAUGCAACUUCGUAAUUUCAUCCAUUAAUACCUAGACCUCCAUUUAACAUGCAACUAAUCCAAUACAAUAAGUGUGCCAGUUGCACCCUAAGGACAUGUUUGGUUAUGGUAUUAGAGCUCCUCAUUGUAUUAGAGUAUUAUAAUAUCAUGUUUGGCAAUUACAUUACAUAGUAUUACAAUGUGGUCAACUCAAAUUCUUAUACUGUCAAACCCGCAUAAACUAAACCCGAGGGGGGUCGGGUUUAUGCGGGUUUUGCAACUAUUUCUGAGGCCAAAAAAAUUAGACUUCCUUCCCGUUCUCACCUUAUCCUCAAAUAAACCAAAAUAGCUCUCCUUGUUCGUUCUGUGAUUUCUCCUGUGCAGUGGCUUAACAAGAGCCAACUCCACGACGCUCCACCACCACAUCAGCAGCCUUUGUCGUGCGACACCAACUCCACCGUAACCUCAUCGUGCGACACCCACCCUCUGCGGGAUACCACCUCCACUGCACCCCACUACGUGACACCACCUCCGCUGCAACACCAUCUUUACUGUGCAAUACAACUGUUCUCCCUGUCAUUCACUACCUAAGGUUUGAUAUUUCAUUUGGGUUUAAUCUUUUAAUUUAGGUUUAAUUUCUAGAUUAGGGUUUUUUUUUUUUUUGCUUUCAAUUUAAUCAUGUUUUUCCGUUAUAAUCAAACAUUCGUGGCAAUUGAUUUUUAUGGAAAAUAAGGGGCUAUUUGCUCUCUCCAGUGUUGCUGCUCUGUCUCUCGAGACUAGUGAUCUCUCUCUGUGCUGUCAUUGUCUCUCCCUCGUUACUGCUAUGUCUGUUUCGUUGUUGCUCUCCCUAGUGCUGCUGUUACUGCUCUCUUCGUCGUUGUUGCCUCUUUAAAUCUGUGAGUUCUUUCUCCAUUGACGUUGCUGCAUUUCUAAAUUUGUAAUAUAAUGUCUGGCAAAUUCUAUUUGGGUUUGAUUAUUUAUUUUCACUCUCUGAUUCUGGCAAUGCACAACUCUCUUUGUGAUAUGUUAUUGGGAAAUUUUUGAUUUGGUGUCUUGGAAUUGUGUAAUUCCAGUUGCUUUCUUAUUUUUUGUUCAUUGUUUAAUAUUAACAUGUAAAUUUGUCCAGGCAUGUGCUUUUGCUUUAACUUCCUUAAAUAUGUUUAUUGUAACUAGAAAAAGUGAUAAUAUCAUGUUGCUGCUAGUGUUUUUGGAAAAGUUGCAAUUGGUUAUUUAUGAUUGUGCUGCACUUUUUAGUCAAAGGAUAAAAUUCAAAAAGGCAGUAACUUUAUGAACAAAUGAUUGAAGACCAAACAAAAAAUUUAAAAUACCAUUAUUGUUGAACAUUAUCUUCUUUUAUAUAAUAUAUAACCACCUGUAGAGUAUUAUUGGUGCAAUGGAUAAUCUUUUCCUGGACAAAUUCAUAUUAUGUGGGGAUAAAAAAUUUUCUCAAGUUUUGUUGUCCAUUCAUAAAUUAAAAGGAAAAAAAUUAGUGUAUGAGUAAAAGAGUUUGAGUUUAAGUACUCAUAUGAAUUUUAUAAGGACUUGUUAGUUGCUAAAUACACACAUAUUUAUAGCUAUUGUAGCUAGCAAAUGUUGCAUACCAUAUAUGAAUUUUUUUUUCAGAUUUAAUUAUCCAUUAAAAUCGACAUCUUUUUUAUUCAUUUCAAUGGGUUAUUUUUAUUUAGGUUGCAAAACAAAUACGUAAACUAGAUUUCCUUCCAACGGCUGCUGCUUGCUUCCAGCAAGUUCAAUUUCUUACCAUUUAUUAUUUGUUCAACAAAAAAUGACUUAUGAUAGAUAAUUCCUUGGAUGACAACCUUAUUGCCUUAAAUUUGAUGGUUGAGAAGCCUUCACAUAUAAGGGCUUUCAAAGUAUUACAAAAUGAUCGUGAUCGUAAGUUGGCUUAUUGUUAGGAUGCUUUUGCAUGAGCACGAUAGGAGAGGUGGGAUUUGAUUAGAGAGUAUGGAUUUCUAACUAAACAAUGAUAUUUUGCAUUAGUAGUUUGGCUUGUAGAUGUGUGUACUUAAAUUAUCGGACGCAAACAACUAUUGUGUUACUUUACUAAUUUGUGAUUUUUGAAGUAUGUAUUAACUUUGAAUGAAUCUUGUGAUAGUUUGUUUUAUUUAUGAUGUGAUAGUUUUUGAAUGCUAUUUGAUUGGAUCAUUUGUUUCAAUCUUUAUUUCAUAGGUUAUAUAUUUAUGAAUUAUUGAAAAAAUAAAUCUUUUAUCAUUGUAAAUCUUAGAAUUUGUUAGUUUUACAUAAAGAAUUAUGAUUCUUUUAUUUAAACAAAAAAAUUGAUGUAAAAAUUCUUAAAUUUAACGCUCUAUAUUUAGUAUUUUUCUAGGUACUAGUAGAUAUUAUUUUCUAAAUAUAUAAUUAAAAUUAAUCACCAAAAUAAAUUAAUACAAUACAGUGCAACACCAAACAUAGUAUAACUAAAAAUUAAUACAGUACAGUGUAGCACCAAAUAUUGUACAGUAUUAUUAUAAUACAUUGCUAAUGCAAUACAACAUAAUACAAUACACCAGCAUUAAAAUAAUGCAAUACAACAUAAUACAAUACGUGUACCAAACGCACCCUAAAAGUGCAUUUGGUGCAUGUGAUUAUGAUGUAUUAUAACACUGUUCACAUUAAAAUAAUAUCAAACCCAUGUUUGGAACAAAAUUGCAAGGGAUUGGGGUGGGGGGCUAAUGCGUCAGUUGACGCAUUAGCUUUGUUUUUUUUUUUUUGCUUUUGCUUUUAACU